rfam:Eubacterium siraeum 70/3 draft genome.
CCUGUGGACUAUACAGGAACUUGUGAGUAGUAUUAGUAAUAAUACAAAAGCAUAUAGGUAGAAGCAGGAA